GUGGGGAAUCUUGCGCAAUGGGCGAAAGCCUGACGCAGCCAUGCCGCGUGAAUGAUGAAGGUCUUAGGAUUGUAAAAUUCUUUCACCGGGGACGAUAAUGACGGUACCCGGAGAAGAAGCUCCGGCUAACUUCGUGCCAGCAGCCGCGGUAAUACGAAGGGGGCUAGCGUUGCUCGGAAUUACUGGGCGUAAAGGGCGCGUAGGCGGACAGCUUAGUCAGAGGUGAAAGCCCAGGGCUCAACCUCGGAAUUGCCUUUGAUACUGGCUGUCUUGAGUUUGGGAGAGGUGAGUGGAACUCCGAGUGUAGAGGUGAAAUUCGUAGAUAUUCGGAAGAACACCAGUGGCGAAGGCGACUCACUGGCCCAAUACUGACGCUGAGGCGCGAAAGCGUGGGGAGCAAACAGGAUUAGAUACCCCAGUAGUCC
rnacentral:rRNA from 1 species